rnacentral:tRNA from 1 species
AGUGGUAAGGCAGAGGUCUGCAAAACCUUUAUUCCCCAGUUCAAAUCUGGGUGUCGCCU